rnacentral:rRNA from 1 species
UAGUGGCGAACGGGUGAGUAACACGUGGAUAAUCUGCCCCGAGGUGUGGGAUAGCCCUACGAAAGUAGGAUUAAUACCGCAUACACCUUUAUAUGCAAAUGUGUAUUUAGGGAAAGUAGCGAUACGCCUUGGGAUGAGUCCGCGGUCCAUUAGCUAGUUGGUGGGGUAAGAGCUUACCAAGGCGAUGAUGGAUAGCCGGCCUGAGAGGGUGAACGGCCACAUUGGGGCUGAGAUACGGCCCAGACUCCUACGGGAGGCAGCAGCUAAGAAUCUUCCGCAAUGAGCGCAAGCUUGACGGAGCGACGCCGCGUGGACGAAGAAGGCGUUUUGCGUUGUAAAGUCCUUUUCUACAGGAAGAAUACUCGGGGAUAGCCUGAGUUGACGGUACUGUAGGAAUAAGCCCCGGCUAAUUACGUGCCAGCAGCCGCGGUAAUACGUAAGGGGCUAGCGUUGUUCGGAAUUAUUGGGCGUAAAGGGCCUGUAGGCGGACUGAUAAGUCAGGUGUGAAAGGUCACGGCUUAACCGUGAGACUGCGCCUGAAACUGUUGGUCUUGAGUGUCGGAGAGGGUACCGGAAUUCCUGGUGUAGGGGUGAAAUCUAUAGAUAUCAGGAAGAACACCGGUUGCGAAGGCGGGUACCUGGCCGAACACUGACGCUGAUGGGCGAAAGCAUGGGGAGCAAACAGGAUUAGAUACCCUGGUAGUCCAUGCUGUAAACGUUGUAUACUAGGUGUUAGGGGUAUCGAUCCCUCUGGUGCCGCAGUUAACGCAUUAAGUAUACCGCCUGGGGAGUAUGCCGGCAACGGUGAAACUCAAAGGAAUUGACGGGGGCCCGCACAAGCGGAGGAACAUGUGGUUUAAUUCGAUGAUACGCGAGGAACCUUACCCGGGCUUAAAUGUAUUCUGACGUUCCGGGAAACUGGAAUUCCCUUCGGGGCAGAUUACAAGGUGCUGCAUGGUUGUCGUCAGCUCGUGCCGUGAGGUGUCGGGUUAAGUCCCAUAACGAGCGCAACCCCUAUUGUUAGUUGCCAGCGGAUAAUGCCGGGGACUCUAACGAAACUGCCAGUGUAAACUGUGUGGAAGGUGGGGAUGACGUCAAAUCAGCACGGCCCUUACGUCCAGGGCUACACACGUGUUACAAUGGUCGGUACAAAGGGCAGCUACCACGCGAGUGGAUGCUAAUCUCCAAAACCGAUCUUAGUUCGGAUUGAAGUCUGCAACUCGACUUCAUGAAGCUGGAUUCGCUAGUAAUCGCACAUCAGCCAUGGUGCGGUGAAACGUUCCCGGGCCUUGUACACACCGCCCGUCAAGCCAUGGAAGCCGGGGGUACCUGAAGUCCGUAACC